CGGAGAGGUGGCCGAGUGGUCGAAGGCGCUCCCCUGCUAAGGGAGUAGGCGGGCAACCGUCUCGAGGGUUCGAAUCCCUUCCUCUCCGCCAC
rnacentral:tRNA from 1 species